rnacentral:rRNA from 1 species
UCCGGUGGCAAUGGCUGGAGGGUCCCACCUGUUCCCAUCCCGAACACAGAAGUUAAGCCUCCACGCGCUGAUGGUACUUGGCUGGAAACGGCCCGGGAGAGUAGGUCGCUGCCGGAU